CAGUCGCCGCGGUAAUACGUAGGUGGCAAGCGUUGUCCGGAAUUAUUGGGCGUAAAGGGCUCGCAGGCGGUUUCUUAAGUCUGAUGUGAAAGCCCCCGGCUCAACCGGGGAGGGUCAUUGGAAACUGGGAAACUUGAGUGCAGAAGAGGAGAAUGGAAUUCCACGUGUAGCGGUGAAAUGCGUAGAGAUGUGGAGGAACACCAGUGGCGAAGGCGAUUCUCUGGUCUGUAACUGACGCUGAGGAGCGAAAGCGUGGGGAGCGAACAGGAUUAGAUACCCCCGUAGUCCCUGUCUCUUAUAC
rnacentral:rRNA from 1 species